rnacentral:lncRNA from 1 species
CGGUAGUUGUAAAUCCUACUUGUUCCCCUGAGCAGAGUUAAUCCUUGAUAUGUUCACUUUAACCAGUGACGGACUUUCUCUUCUUUGGUAUUUUAUCCAGUAACUGAUAGAUGUAAUUUCUAUUUUUGUCCCCUUUUCAGAGUCAAUCCUUGAUAUGUUCAUCUUAACCGGUGACGGAUUUUCUCUUUGAUUGGUCUUCUACCCAGUAACCGAUAAUUGUAAAUCCUACUUUGUCCCCUCGCG